rnacentral:rRNA from 1 species
CGUGCAGGCGGCUGGGUAAGUUGGAUGUGAAAUCUCCUGGCUCAACUGGGAGAGGCCGUUCAAUACUACCUGGCUUGAGGGCGACAGAGGGAGGUGGAAUUCCGGGUGUAGUGGUGAAAUGCGUAGAUAUCCGGAGGAACACCAGAGGCGAAGGCGACCUCCUGGGUCGUACCUGACGCUGAGAUGCGAAAGCUAGGGAGCAAACG